rnacentral:lncRNA from 10 species
GGGUUUUGAAGAAUGAGCAGAAGCUCUGCGUCAGAUGAAGAAGAGACAGGAGGCCCUCCAAGCAAAGGAACCACUCAUGUCAAGACAUGGGGCAAAAAGAGAGGAUGUAUUUGGAGAACAGAGAGUAACCGAAGGCUAUCAUUCAAUCAGUGAUAGUCUUCAUGGAGGUUAAUAUCAAAGGCAACCUGAAUUUCCUCAGACUUCAUGAGCUGGCGGUGAAGGGCGCUGGAUCCAGGGCAAAAAUGAAGACAUAAGGGACCUUAGGUGACAAGGAAGAAGCUCCCAGGCAGCAUGUGGGAUGGACCCAAGGAGAACGUCAGAGAGAAAGAGUUCAGUCUGGUGUCUCCUGAAGCAGGUUAAAAUUAAGCUCGGCAGGCUCGACGUAAAUGUGCAGACAAAGCAAAGCAGGAAGCCUCCCACACUAAAAAGGGAAGAUAAGAAUCACAGAAGCUGGGAUGGUUUUUAUUGAAGGGCAUUUCAAAGCAAAUACAGACAUCUACAGCAUAUUUGUAAAUCCUCCGUAUGUGUAUGGAAACACACACCUUCACACAUCAAAACUGGAUUUGUUCCUGAGUAACAAAACGUCCUAAGAACAAAAUGAAAGAAAACCAAAUAGCAGAAAAAUACUUCCAAUGUAUAUACCACAAAGGAUUAUUUAUCAACUCAACACACCAAGAGUUAAGAAAAUAAUGCAACAGGAACAAAGGGCAAAGGAUAUGUACUGGGAAGACCACAGAGAAAGAAAAUGCAAAUGGCUAAUAAUAUAAAAUAUUUCCUAGGUUCAAUAGUAAUCAGGGAAAGACAAAAUUACACUUUUGACCUCUUAGACUGGCAGUGACAAAGAUUAUUUGAGUGACCAAGCUUUAGUCAGGCUCCUGGAUCUUCUAGGCCCAUCUGGGCACUUCCUCGUAAAAUACAGUUUUAACAAAAGCCCUGCUAAAUUGGUUUACCGAGAACUCCCACCCUCAAUCGAGUUCCUUAGCCCUUCACCUUUCCUCAGGUGAGGGCUGAUCAUCCUGUCCUGUCUUCAGCAAGACUGCUCUAACGCUGACGUUUCCUUUUAGUAAUUUUCCAUCCACUGACACCCACUUGUAAUUUAUAGCCAAGGAGCAAGAUACACUGCUCCUUGGCUAUAAGUUAUUUUCCCUGUUACAUUCAGAGUUGAGCCCAAUCCCACUCCCCGACUACAAAAUCGAUAGCAGUGGUCCCUAUACCUAUUGCAAUGGUCCUAAAUAAAACCUGCCUUACCGUGCUUGAACAAGUGUCAUCGAAUAAUUUUUUAACAGCAAAUUGUUGGAGGUAAAGACAUUUUUAAAUGUCUUCAAUUAGUUUAGCUACUUCCACGUAAUGUUAAAAUCUCCAUCAAUUGGCUAGUUACUGUCCCUUCCUGAGAAGAAGCAGACACCAUAGCCCUGCAUACUGUGGAUUCACUCCUAAGUUGAUAUUGAUAUGAAUGAAAUAGUUAUCUCCC